rnacentral:rRNA from 1 species
UACGUAGGGUGCAAGCGUUAAUCGGAAUUACUGGGCGUAAAGCGUGCGUAGGUGGUUUGUUAAGUCUGAUGUGAAAGCCCUGGGCUCAACCUGGGAGUUGCAUUGGAUACUGGCAGGCUAGAGUGCGGUAGAGGAUGGCGGAAUUCCCGGUGUAGCAGUGAAAUGCGUAGAGAUGUGGAGGAACACCGAUGGCGAAGGCAGCCCCCUGGGUCAAGAUUGACGCUCAUGCACGAAAGCGUGGGGAGCAAACAGG